rnacentral:rRNA from 1 species
UACGUAGGGAGCAAGCGUUGUUCGGAUUUACUGGGCGUAAGGGGCGCGUAGGCGGCGCGGUAAGUCACUUGUGAAAUCUCUGAGCUUAACUCAGAACGGCCAAGUGAUACUGCAGUGCUAGAGUGCAGAAGGGGCAAUCGGAAUUCUUGGUGUAGCGGUGAAAUGCGUAGAUAUCAAGAGGAACACCUGAGGUGAAGACGGGUUGCUAGGCUGACACUGACGCUGAGGCGCGAAAGCCAGGGGAGCAAACGGG